rnacentral:lncRNA from 1 species
UUUCAGAAGUAGAAAGGUCUCCGUAUUAUCAAGUCGUUUGUGAUACAAGGACUUCCAAAUCGACAAUCGGCUCCGUUGGACUUGAUGUAUAAUAUUUGAAGUAUCUAGAGAAUAAAUUUCACAUUUUUUCAAUAUCAUUUAUCUAGUGAUUGAAAGGGCUCAAAAUCACGACUGAAAAUAAAAAUCUUACAAAAAGUGAUGAUAUAAUACUAAAAUUUUAGAUCAAAGAUAUUUAUCUAAUUUUGUACAGUAUAAAAAAUUUUCUGUCAAAAUUUUAUGAGAUUUAAAUAUUUCUAUACCAUUAAACUUACAAAUGGCUCAACACAAUCAUUAAAAUUAUUGAUUUUGGGCAUCUUCGAUCACUGGUUAAAUGAUAUUAAAAAAUUAUGAAAUUUAUGUUCUAGAUACUUUGAAUAUUCUAGAUUAAGUUCAACAAAGCCGAUCGUUGAUUCAGAAGUUCUAAUAUCGAAAAUGACUUCAUAGAAUGAAUGCAACCGUAUUUCGAAAAGCACACAAGUAGCCUAGCUCGCAAAUACCAUUUGGAUCAUCAAGAGAUAAACUCUACCAUAAAAUUUGACCAUAUUAAUUUUAUUUCGACUGUACUCUAAAAGCUUUGGCAAUACAUGUACUUCCUCUUUCUUCUAGAUUCUCUCCUCUUGGUAUGUUUAAG